rnacentral:lncRNA from 1 species
CAGGUCUCGUCCUUAGGUGUUUGGGACUCAGCUGAGGGUGUGGGUCCCCGCGGUGGGGGCUGAGCCUCCUCGGGGUGUAGGGAGACAAAGGGACCCAGAUCCAAGUCGCCUCUUUCCUGCUUUAGGAUUCGGUGCCUUGGCUGUCUGCUAGUCCAUGUGCCGUCUUAUCCCCCGAUUCUCCUUCUAGUGGACCGUCAGAGAAGGGUGUGGACUCUGAGCCUCAGAAACAGGAGCUGAUACAGAAGAACCAAGUGUGAUAUUGAAUCUGCUAGACAGGUUCCUGGAGCAAGAGUGAAGAGAUCACGGUCCCAUCAAUGGGACACUUUAGAGGGAACUGGGAGCUGGGCUGCCAUCUCCUCCAGAUCAAGACUGCUGCCACACUGGGAAGGUGGUAAAGAAAGGGUGCUGGCUACCUGAUGGAAAGAAGGAAGGAAGAAACAUAAGGAGAACAAAUACACAUUCACAUCUCAACAGUGUGACCUGCCAUAUAUGCCUUCCUUGCCAUGUAUAUUCUCUUGCAGAGCUACUAAAAUGGACACACUCACUUUUUCCAUUUAUGUGCUGUAGGGAGUACCAGCACAUUCUGAAGAUACCAUUUUCAGCCCUUUUUUCCCUAAUGUCUUCAAAUGUUUGGUUUCCCAAGUGCCAUCUAGGUCAAAAGAAUUUCUCAG